UUGAUGCAAACAGCAAGAGGAUUUUUAUUCCAAGCGCGCUGGGGCUCACAGUCGUACGCCACGCAGGGGUAGAGGACUGCGGCCCCUAGUGCGGAGUCGGGACAGCUUUUAUGGGGUUCACAACAAAGCCCGCACUUCACAAACCAAUCAUUUUAAAACAUCGAGAGCCCGCGCUUUGUGAACCAAUUAAUUUAAAUUGUUUUGGAGUUACAUGUUUGUGCCUGUUCCUGGGCAGGGGAGACAUGUUGUCGCCAAAGAUAUAUUUAUCAGAAUUUUCAACAUUUUGUGGCACGCCCGAUCUUACUGGGGUCGGUUAGGCGAUUGACUUCUCCUCUUUUUAUCUUAUGCAAGCAGGUUUACAGAAGCCAAACAAGCAGUUAGGAGCAGUUUCAAGAAGUUUCAAGCAUAGAGGCACAUACUCAGGGGCCUGUUUUUCCCCUUCCACAAAGUUUUGUACAGAGCAGAAAGCAAGCCCUAAAACAGCAAAAAGUAUGAUCUUUUACCUAUAGGGAACAGGGUCUGGAAUUCGAGGGCAUUUAGAGCUUCUUAUUAACUUCCUGGGUUCUGGGAGAGUCAGGUUGCAUUUUCAUCCUUUCAUUCCCCACUUCUUCUCUUGUUAAUAGUUCUAAUCUUAGAACUAGGAAGGCUAAAGGUCAGUUUCUCCUUAGCUUGGAAGGCCUUGGUACUACUGUCUAAGUACCACGAUCUGGACUGCAUUCACUCAUUCUCUAACAAAGGCAACAAACCUAUUAAUUAAGCAAGGCCCAACUGUUCAGUGGGGACUGAUCCAGAGGUUGUAUUGAAAUCAGAGGGAUUAGGAGAUGGCCUCUGUUCUUGGAUUGGAGGUCCUUGUUCGGCUAAUACCUUAUUCGGUCCUACAGCAACCGGAGGUUCCAUCUGAGUUUCUAUUCUGAGGCGAAUAGUUAGAAUAGAUCCUUCUCCUCCCCAUGAGCCUCUAUAGUACACUACUCCCCAAGACAUACCGUUUAUCCACUUUUGAAUAUUUUCCUGUUUUCCCUUUUCAGUGAAACUUAUUUUCAGGUAAUCCAGGUCUGAAGGAGAGCAAUUGGUAGUUUUCUGUUUAAUCCAAUCUAGGUAAUUAAAUUGUUUAGAGCUGGUAUAAGUGUUAACAUAAGAGAAACUUACCCUAUCUUGCCGAGAGGUUGGCCAUUUCCAAUAUCCAUCAUUAGAGGUUACGCAACUCCAUUGUUUACAAAAGAAAUCCCUGGGGUUACCACAAGAUUUUUCAUUAUUUGGGGGUCCUGGGCAAACAUAAAACCCGUAAGCACGGAGUAUAUCGGGGGGUGUGGACAUGGUGUUAAGAUCAGGGAUUACCAAUCGAAGGCAGACAUGUAGCUCAGGCCACCAAGUCCCUAAGGGAGCUUCCCUUUGAGUGCUGUUAAUAGUAAUACCUGUACUGGAAUCAGUAAGUAGCCAGGUGAGGGAUAAGGGUUUAUGGGAGGUCGGGCUGUCCACAAGGCGUUUACUAUUAGCUUGAGUGGUUAUUGAUAGAGUAAGGAACCAAGCGAUGGAGGCAAAGCUUAAGGGGGUUCUCAGUCUUUUCGGCUUUCCACCCUGAAUCGGGAGGUGGCGCCGGCUUAACGUGGGAUGCAUGGAUCCAGGUGGGGAUUCCUUCGACUUUCACAGCUGUUGGUGUGGUCAAAAGUACGAGAUAAGGGCCCUUCCACCGAGUCUCGAGGUUUCCUGCACGGUGGCGUCUAACAUAGACUGAAUCUCCAACUUGGAAGCGAUGUGGAACUUGCAAGUCUCCUCCUGAGUAGGCCUCUCGGGGCUGCUUCCACGCUCGCUGCCUCACCCACUCGAGCGCCUUGAGCCUAGAGAACAAAGGCUGGGAAAGCAGCACAUCAGCACUAUGUGCAAAGGCAAUUUCUGCCGGGGGGGGGGGGCAUAGAGCAAUUCAUAGGGGGUCAGCCCAAACUGUCCAGGGGUGUUCCUAAUCCUGAAAAGCACAAAGGGCAGGAGAGUUAUCCAAUCAUUAACGCCAGUCUCUGUGGUCAAUUUGGUAAGGGUCUCUUUAAUGGUUCUAUUCAUCCUCUCUACCUGUCCUGAGCUUUGGGGUCUGUAUGCACAAUGCAGUUUCCAAUCAAUCCCCAAUAUCUUGGCCAGUCCCUGACUUACCUGGGCAACAAAAGCUGGACCAUUGUCUGACCCUGUUACCUUAGGUAUUCCAAAUCUUGGAAAAAUUUCCUCCAAUAUUUUCUUAGCCACCACGGUUGAAGUCUCUUUCUUAGUAGGAUAAGCCUCUACCCAUCCUGAAAAGGUGUCUAUAAAAACCAAUAGAUAUUUGUUUCCGUAUUUAGCUGGCUUUACCUCAGUGAAGUCCACUUCCCAGUGAGCGCCUGGGUGGCUUCCCCUUAGUCUCUUUCCCGGAGGUAUUCUGGAAGGAUUAGCAUUAACCAGCUGGCAGGGCACACAAUGUUUGACCACCGAGUCAGCCACUCCUGGUAGCCUCAGAACAUGAUAAGGGGAUGUUCUGACCAACUGCUGCAGGUGUUUAUUUCCUAGGUGGGUUAGAUGAUGUAUCUGUUGGACAUAUUCUAACCCUUCUUUGUGGGGCAGGAUUUCCUUCCCAUCUGAGGUAUAGCAGGUCCCCUCCGGAGUUUCAGAGAACUGGUCUAUCUUUUUUAUCUCUUGCCAGUCUUCUAGGGUGUACUGUCGUCCGGGUUCUGGGGCUUUGGGUGUUUCUAUUAUAGGCAGAAGGUUAACACCCUGGGCUGCCUGCUUGGCAACCCGGUCAGCCAUCUGGUUCCCUCUGGAUAUGGGAUCUUUGGCUUUCUGAUGUCCAGGACAGUGUAUAAUAGCUAGCCUUUUUGGCAAAUGUAAGGCUUCUAAUAGGCUUAGAAUUUCCUCUUUGUUCUUUAUUUCCCUCCCUGCUGAGGUAAGCAACCCCCUUUGCUUAUAGAUGGCCCCAUGUAUGUGUGCAGUCGCAAAGGCAUACCUGCUGUCCGUAUAAAUGUUUAUGGAUUUCCCUUCGGCCAGCCGCAAAGCUUGCGUGAGGGCCAUGAGCUCAGCCUUUUGUGCUGAAGUCCCUUCUGGCAGGCUGCUGGCCCAGAUCGUGCGGGUCCCAUCCACCACCGCCGCCCCAGCCAUCCUCUUACCUUCCACCACAUAGCUGCUUCCGUCAGUGAACCAGGUUAGCACUUCUCCAGUCAGCGGUAUGUCUGUAAGGUCCUUGCGGACCCCAGUCUCCUCAAUCAAUAGUUGAUGGCAAUCAUGAGUCACUGGUUCAUCAGUCUCUUCAGGCAGAAGAGUGGCAGGGUUGAGAGCGGCUGGUGGAGCGAACGUGACCCUCUCUGUGAGAAGCAGGCUUUGAUAGUGGGUCAUGCGGGCGUUGGUCAUCCAUCGGUCUGGGGGCUGCCGAACGAUGUUCUCCAACGCAUGGGGGGCUAUUACAGUUAUAUUCUGUCCCAAAGUCAAUUUGUCAGCGUCCUUGACCAGUAUGGCCACAGCUGCGAUAGCCUUCAGGCAUACGGGCCAACCACUGGCUACAGGAUCGAGCUUCUUUGACAGGUAGGCAACAGGUCUCCUCCAUGGUCCUAGGGUUUGGGUUAAAACUCCCCGGGCUAUUCCCUUACGCUCAUCCACAUAAAGGGUAAAGGGUUUAGUUACGUCAGGGAGGGCCAGAGCAGGUGCGCUCAGCAGGGCCUUUUUGAUAGCAUCAAAUGCCUUCUGGUGCUCAGGAGCCCAGGAGAACUCCCCUUUUUCUUUGGUUAGUGGGUAGAGUGGGGCUGCUAAGGUCGCAAAACCCAGCUGUCCCCAAAAACUCUCUCACUUGCUUGGCUGUGGUUGGGGUCGGUAUCUGGGCUACAGUUCUCUUCCGUGCCUCCGUCAGCCAUCGCUGCCCGUCCUGCAGACUGUACCCCAGGUAUGUUACUUCUCUCCUGCAAAUCUGGGCCUUUUUAGCUGAGGCUCGGUAGCCUAGGUCAGACAAUUCUAGUAGUAGUGCCUUUGUACCUUUUAAGCAGUCCUGUUUGGUGUCUCCCGCUAGAAGCAGGUCAUCCACGUACUGGAGGAGGGUCACCUGGGGGUGUUGGAUCCUGAAGUUGGCCAGGUCUCUGUGUAGGGCUUCGUCAAAGAUGGUCGGGGAGUUUUUGAACCCUUGGGGCAGUCGGGUCCAAGUGAGCUGCCCGGUUCUUCCCGCACCUGGAUCUCUCCAUUCGAAGGCAAAAAGUGGUUGGCUAGUGGGAUGUAGUCUCAGGCAGAAGAAGGCAUCCUUUAAGUCCAAUACUGUGUACCAGCUCCGUUGGGGUGGGAGAGCACACAAGAGGUUAUAAGGGUUCGGGACUGUUGGGUGUAUAUCCUGCACCCAUUUAUUGACCUCUCUCAAGUCCUGUACUGGUCGAUAGUCAUUGGUCCCAGGCUUUCUAACCGGUAGCAGGGGAGUAUUCCAGGGAGAUUGGACAGGAACUAGGAUGCCCUGUUGGAUUAAUCUUUGAACAUGCGGCCGAAUUCCUUCUCGAGCUUCUUUACUCAAGGGGUACUGUCUGACUGACACUGGUGUAGCACUGGCCUUCAGUUGAAUAACCUGUGGGGGAACUUGCUUUGCCAAACCCAUCCCUGCGGUUUCUGCCCAGGCUUGGGGAAACUGUUCCAACCAGAACUGUAUAUUUUGAUCAGGCUUUACUAGGGGAGAAUAUAGUCGAUAUUCGUCAUCUAAUUGGAGGGUCAACACAGUGAUAGGUUUGUUAUUUGCAGACACUUCUGGUUUCCCUUGUUCAAAAGAAAUUUGUGCUCCCAUCUUGGUCAAUAAGUCUCUACCUAAGAGGGGUGCUGGGCACUCAGGGAUGACCAGAAACGAGUGGGUUACCCGUCCAACUCCCAAGUCAACUGUUCUUCGGGUAGUCCAUGGAUACUGUCGUUGCCCUGUGGCACCCAUCACCCAGGAUUUUUUAUCUUUUAGUUUUCCUAAUGGCUGUAGUAGCACUGAAUGUUUCGCUCCGGUAUCAACCAGAAACUCAACUGGUUGCCCCUCCACCUUUAAAGUUACCCUGGGCUCGGGGAGGGGGUCCGAACCCCGUCUUCCCUAGUCUUUAUCUUCUUCCAGAGCUAAGACCUUCAGUCCUUUGUUUCCCUUCUUGGGGCAGUCCCUUGCCCAGUGUCCUUUUUCUUUACAAUAUGCACAUUGGUCCUUGUCGAGUGGGGUCCUAUUGCCCAGGUUCCCUGACUGUCUAGGGCCUGACCUAAUUUUCCUAAAAUCUCUCUCUCUUUCUCUAUUGCUUUUCCCUUCAACCACUGCAGCCAAGAUCUUAGUCAAAUUCUUCUCUUGCCGUUUAUUACGUCUUUCCUCCCUUUCCUCUCUUUCUCUCGCUUUUUUUUGUUCCCUUUCUUCUUCUGUCUCCCUUUUGUAAUACACUUUCUCUGCCUCCUUCACUAGAUCACGUAACUCAGCCUCCUGUAACCCUUCCAGUCUCUGACAUUUCUUUCUGAUAUCCAGAGCUGCCUGUCCUAUGAAGGCCAGGGCCAUUGAAGCUUUCUGGGCCUCCGAGGUAGGAUCAAAAGGGGUGAACCACCUAAAGGCUUCCAUGAUCCUCUCAAGAAAUACCGAGGGAGGUUCGUUCGGUCCCUGCAUCACCUCUCUUACCUUAGCCAAAUUUGUGGGCCGUCUUGAGGCGCCCCAGAGACCCACCACCAGAGCCUGGCGAUAGAUUUUCAAGCUCUCCCUACCUUCAGCCGUGUUGUAGUCCCAAUGGGGCGAGUCAAGGGAAAUCCCAUGUCAAUCUCAUUUUGCAACUGUGUGGGUCGCCCGUCGGCCCCAGGAACAUUUUUUUUUUUUUUUUUUAAGCCUCUAACAGAAUUCUCUCUCGCUCCCCGGUUGUGGAGAGUGUCUGUAGCAGUUGUUGACAAUCAUCCCAAGUAGGCUGGUGAGAGAACAUAAGGGACUCCACCAACCCCGUGAGGCAUUGGGGAUCCUCCGAGAAAGGGGGAUGGUUAGAUUUUCAAUUAUAAAGAUCUGCAGAAGAAAAGGGCCAAUACUGGAGGGGCUGCAAUUGGCCCCCCGGUAUGGGAGGGCCGUACGUGCGCAGCGGUAAUGUCGCAAUCUCGUCUGUCCGCUCCGGGGUGGCG
rnacentral:lncRNA from 1 species